AACUGUUGCGGGUAUCUUUGCCUCUGAAGGAAAGUUGUGCCUAUUAUUAUGGCUUAUUGCUUUAGUGGCGUAGAUCCCCACAACAGUU
rnacentral:pre_miRNA from 1 species